rnacentral:rRNA from 1 species
AGCGGAGGAAAAGAAACCAACAGGGAUUGCCCCAGUAACGGCGAGUGAAGCGGCAACAGCUCAAAUUUGAAAUCUGGCCCUCCCCGGGGGGCCCGAGUUGUAAUUUGCAGAUUGUGCUUUUGGCGAGGGGCCUUCCGAGUUCCCUGGAACGGGACGCCAUAGAGGGUGAGAGCCCCGUCUGGUCGGCCGCCGAGCCUCUGUAAAGCACCUUCGACGAGUCGAGUAGUUUGGGAAUGCUGCUCAAAAUGGGAGGUAUAUGUCUUCUAAAGCUAAAUACCGGCCAGAGACCGAUAGCGCACAAGUAGAGUGAUCGAAAGAUGAAAAGCACCUUGAAAAGGGGGUUAAACAGUACGUGAAAUUGUUGAAAGGGAAGCGCUCGCGACCAGACUUGGGCCCGGCGGAUCACCCAGCGUUCUCGCUGGGGCACUCCGCCUCGUCCCAGGCCAGCAUCGGUUCGUGCCGGGGGACAAAGGCGGCGGGAACGUGGCUCCCCCGGGAGUGUUAUAGCCCGCCGUGCAAUGCCCUGGGGCGGACCGAGGAUUCGCGCAUCUGCAUGGAUGCUGGCGUAAUGGUCACCAGCGACCCGUCUUGA